rnacentral:rRNA from 1 species
CCUACGGGAGGCAGCAGUGGGGAAUAUUGGACAAUGGGGGGAACCCUGAUCCAGCCAUGCCGCGUGUGUGAAGAAGGCCCUCGGGUUGUAAAGCACUUUCAGUGAGGAAGAACGCCUGGUGGUUAAUACCCAUCAGGAAAGACAUCACUCACAGAAGAAGCACCGGCUAACUCCGUGCCAGCAGCCGCGGUAAUACGGAGGGUGCGAGCGUUAAUCGGAAUUACUGGGCGUAAAGCGCGCGUAGGUGGCUUGAUAAGCCGGUUGUGAAAGCCCCGGGCUCAACCUGGGAACGGCAUCCGGAACUGUCAAGCUAGAGUGCAGGAGAGGAAGGUAGAAUUCCCGGUGUAGCGGUGAAAUGCGUAGAGAUCGGGAGGAAUACCAGUGGCGAAGGCGGCCUUCUGGACUGUCACUGACACUGAGGUGCGAAAGCGUGGGUAGCAAACAGGAUUAGAUACCCCGGUAGUC